rnacentral:SRP_RNA from 1 species
CGGCGGGAAAGGCCGGGGAGCUAGCCCUUCCCUCAACCCGAGACGGGCUACAUGCGGGGGCCGGACAACCCGUGGGGGCGCCUGCGGCCGGCCUGCCAGCCGAGCUGCACGGAGGCGAUGAGAAUACGCCGGAUGGGGGCGCCGCAGGAGGGCGAGGUUCUCGUAGGAGGACCCCAAACCUCCUAAUGCGUCGAACCGUGUCAGGCCCGGGAGGGAGCAGCACUAAGACGCAGCGACGCAGCCCAUCCAAAAGCGUGUUCGAGAACUCAGGCAGCCCGGAGGCAUGGCGCCGGGCCCUCGCCACCCCAGGGGGCCGCCG